rnacentral:lncRNA from 1 species
GCCUGUAGCAUAUGGACAUGUGUGAGAGGAAGGAAGCAAGCCCAACCAUUCUCAGGGAAUGGAUGCCAUGCCCCUGGAGAAGGUCCCUCGAGUUCGGGGAGAGGGGACCUUGACUUAGGAUGAGUGGGAUCCUUGAUGUAUGUGAUGGAGAAGUAUUUCAGCAUGUGGCAGAGACACUGAGAUUUCUUUGGGAAAUCAGAGAAACAAUUGAGGGAGAAGUGGGCUGUCUUCAAGAUAUCAAGAGCCUUUAGGACAGAGCCAGGAAUAAACAUUCAAGGGAGAUUGUGACCAUCUCAAGAGGGAGAGACAGCAAUCUUUUGGUUUAGGAUGUCAAUAUUCUUAGAGACACAGUAAUAAGGCCUGGAAUAGAGGUGGACUCAGGGAGAAGCUGUGCAAUUUCCUGCAGUGUUUCUAGUGCUUGUGCAUCAUCCUCUUAAUAUGUUACUUUUUGUGGGCAAGGGUGGGGGCCAGGUGCUCAGGCUGUAUUGUUCAGAAUGCUUCUUUUGUAUCUCAG